rnacentral:lncRNA from 1 species
UGUACCGUACCAGACCAGAUACAUCUAUUGAGUGAGAGAAAGGUAGCAGCUUAUAUAUAUUAUUCAUUUUGGAUAUGGAUAGGGAUCCCCAGAUUCCCGUCACUAUGGAUUGAUUGUCUUUACCUAACUAUAUGGUAGUGGUCUAGGGAGCGCAAUUGCCAGAGCACGGGAGAAUGAAGAGUAAUGAUUUCAGCAAGAGCAGCCGGACGGACUACUAUAGUAAGUCCAGUGACUACUAGAGUAGAGUUGAG